UUGUUAGCCUGGGUGCCAUCCUCCCUGGUUAGCUUGCAAAAAGAUUGAGCCACGGUUACUAUGGAGAAUCGUAACCAGGCUA
rnacentral:pre_miRNA from 1 species